rnacentral:rRNA from 1 species
UACGGAGGGGGCAAGCGUUGUUCGGAUUUACUGGGCGUAAAGGGCGCUUAGGCGGCUUUGUAAGUUACUUGUGAAAUCUCCGGGCUUAACUCGGAGCGGCCAAGUGAUACUGCAGAGCUAGAGUGCAGAAGGGGCAACUGGAAUUCUUGGUGUAGCGGUGAAAUGCGUAGAUAUCAAGAGGAACACCUGAGGCGAAGGCGGGUUGCUGGGCUGACACUGACUCUGAAGCGCGAAAGCUAGGGAGCAAACAGG